rnacentral:lncRNA from 1 species
CAAUGACCGUUUCGCCCCUGGAACAACUUUUGGAUCGCGGAGGAGGAGGACGGGGACGGCGGGACGCUUGUGCCGCUGCGCGCUGGGCCCCGCUAGCAAGCGAGCAGUAUUUAGUCAGGUAGUGAGGUGCCGCCACAAUGUUUCGAAAAAAGUGAGGUGCCGCCACGUUGCUGGAGUACGGUAGGUGUGGUGGGCCCACCGUGUUUCUGUUUGGGAUAGGUGAAUCAGCAAAUUAAACUACUACUAUACUCGAUCAAUCGUAUCAGGGAAAGAAGCCUAGGCUUAUCCGCAUCAGCUCACCCUGAAAUAGGAGAGUUUCUAGGCAACUUGUCCUCUAAUUCCUUGUGCUCCCGUGGCUGUUACAGGAAAAAUUCUCUCACUCAAGCAACCCACCACCCAUCGUCCACGGAGGAGGCCGUGCACGCAUCGCAUCGCAUGGAUUAUCGGAGCAUUAUCCGUUCGUGUAAAAACUACCAGGGCCAACAGAAUCAACACGACGACCGACCACGACCC